rnacentral:rRNA from 1 species
ACGAACGCUGGCGGCAGGCCUAACACAUGCAAGUCGAGCGCCCCGCGAGGGGAGCGGCGGACGGGUGAGUAACGCGUGGGAACGUGCCCCUUGGUUCGGAAUAGCCCCGGGAAACUGGGAGUAAUACCGGAUGAGCUCUGCGGAGGAAAGAUUUAUCGCCGAGGGAUCGGCCCGCGUUGGAUUAGGUAGUUGGUGGGGUAACGGCCUACCAAGCCGACGAUCCAUAGCUGGUUUGAGAGGAUGAUCAGCCACACUGGGACUGAGACACGGCCCAGACUCCUACGGGAGGCAGCAGUGGGGAAUCUUGGACAAUGGGCGCAAGCCUGAUCCAGCCAUGCCGCGUGAGUGACGAAGGCCUUAGGGUUGUAAAGCUCUUUCGUGGGGGAAGAUAAUGACUGUACCCCAAGAAGAAGCCCCGGCUAACUCCGU